AAAGACUUGACGGUGCUUCACAACAACCUAGAGGAGCCUGUCUAAUAACCGAUAUUCCACGAUUAACCCAACCCACUCUAGCCACAUCAGUCUAUAUACCGCCGUCGCCAGCUUACCUUGUGAAAGAACUAAAGUAAGCUAAACAGAACCCCACUAAUACGACAGGUCGAGGUGUAACAAAUGAGCGGGUAAAAGAUGGGCUACAUUUUCUAAAACAGAAUAACACGAAUUGAACCAUGAAAACAGAAACUGAAGGCGGAUUUAGCAGUACGUUAAGAACACAAUACUUAACUGAAA
rnacentral:rRNA from 1 species